ACAAGCGGUGGAGCAUGUGGUUUAAUUCGAAGCAACGCGAAGAACCUUACCAGGUCUUGACAUCCCGAUGCUAUUCUAGAGAUAGAAAGUUACUUCGGUACAUCGGUGACAGGUGGUGCAUGGUUGUCGUCAGCUCGUGUCGUGAGAUGUUGGGUUAAGUCCCGCAACGAGCGCAACCCUCGACCUUAGUUGCCAGCAUUCAGUUGGGCACUCUAAGGUGACUGCCGGCUAAAAGUCGGAGGAAGGUGGGGAUGACGUCAAAUCAUCAUGCCCCUUAUGACCUGGGCUACACACGUGCUACAAUGGGCGGUACAAAGGGCAGCCACUUAGCGAUAAGGAGCCAAUCCCGUAAAGCCGGUCUCAGUCCGGAUUGGAGUCUGCAACUCGACUCCAUGAAGUUGGAAUCGCUAGUAAUCGCAGAUCAGCACGCUGCGGUGAAUACGUUCCCGGGCCUU
rnacentral:rRNA from 1 species